rnacentral:rRNA from 1 species
CUACGUGCCAGCAGCCGCGGUAAUACGUAUGUCGCAAGCGUUAUCCGGAAUUAUUGGGCAUAAAGGGCAUCUAGGCGGCCAGACAAGUCUGGGGUGAAAACUUGCGGCUCAACCGCAAGCCUGCCCUGGAAACUGUCUGGCUAGAGUACUGGAGAGGUAAGCGGAACUACAAGUGUAGAGGUGAAAUUCGUAGAUAUUUGUAGGAAUGCCGAUGGGGAAGCCAGCUUACUGGACAGAUACUGACGCUGAAGCGCGAAAGCGUGGGUAUCAAACAGGAUUAGAUACCCUGGUAGUCCACGCAGUAAACGAUGAUAACUGGGCGUAUGCGAUAUACAGUAUGCUCCUAAGCGAAAGCGUUAAGUUAUCCACCUGGGGAGUACGCCGGCAACGGUGAAACUCAAAGGAAUUGACGGGGGCCCGCACAAGCGGAGGAACAUGUGGUUUAAUUCGAUGAUACGCGAGGAACCUUACCCGGGAU